GGAGAGGUUGCCGAGCGGUUUAAGGCGACGGUCUUGAAAAUCGUUGUGGGGGUAACUCCACCGUGGGUUCGAAUCCCACCCUCUCCG
rnacentral:tRNA from 1 species